AUACCUUAAACUUAUGAGUAAGGAAAAUGACGAUUCGGGGUGAUAUCCUAAAUCCUCACUGCUAAUGUGAGAUGAAUUUUUGAGUGGGUAAAGAUUGCCUCUAAGGUGAGCUGUCUACUUUGUGGGAUGCCUGGGAGUCACGAUCUGCCCC